rnacentral:lncRNA from 1 species
CUUUAUUACACAUUGACACUGGUUAAUUUUUCUUGCAGGUGGUGGGCGAUGAUGAUGAACAGUUCUUCCAUGUGCAAAUUCGCAACCAAGAGAGAGUGUUAGGAGAACCAAGGUGAAGAAUGUGAGGAUAUGGUUCACCUAACACUAUCAACUUGUGACUUGAUGGUAUUGAUGUUGACACAAUAAGGUCUUCCCACGUUUUUGGCAGAGGCAUGGUCUUUCCUUCUUAUGUAGACUUACCCUCUACCAUUUUAAGUAGAAGAGCUCUCGGUUUUUCCUCCCAGCUGAAAGUGAGCUCUCGGUUUUUAGCAAAGGGUGGUGGUUCUUCAUUGGUUUUCCCCUCUCUCUUGGAAGGUAAUUAGCAAGUCAUGGAAGGCUGUUCCUGAGCCUGAAAAACAGCCAUUAGAAGGGAAGAAAGCUGCUGCAAGGAAGGAGAAAAUCUGUCCAGACUUCCGGCCGAACACAGGUUGUAUUUUUCCAUCCCCUUUUUCAUUGUUUUGCCUUGAAUCUUG